UAAUACCGAAUAAUCUCUUUUGCUUCAUGGUGAAAGACUGAAAGACGGUUUCGGCUGUCGCUAUAGGAUGGGCCCGCGGCGCAUUAGCUAGUUGGUGAGGUAACGGCUCACCAAGGCGACGAUGCGUAGCCGACCUGAGAGGGUGAUCGGCCACACUGGGACUGAGACACGGCCCAGACUCCUACGGGAGGCAGCAGUAGGGAAUCUUCCACAAUGGGCGAAAGCCUGAUGGAGCAACGCCGCGUGAGUGAAGAAGGUUUUCGGAUCGUAAAACUCUGUUGUAAGGGAAGAACAAGUACAGUAUUAUCUGUCUUUCCUUGACGGUACCUUAUUAGAAAGCCACGGCUAACUACGUGCCAGCAGCCGCGGUAAUACGUAGGUGGCAAGCGUUGACCGGAAUACUGGGCGUAAAGCGCGCGCAGGCGGUCCUUUAAGUCUGAUGUGAAAGCCCACGGCCUCACCCCGUGGAGGGUCAUUGGAAACUGGGGGACUUGAGUGCC
rnacentral:rRNA from 1 species